UACGAAGGUCCCAAGCGUUGUUCGGAAUUACUGGGCGUAAAGCGCACGUAGGCGGCUUUGUAAGUUAGAGGUGAAAGCCCGGGGCUCAACUCCGGAACUGCCUUUAAGACUGCAUCGCUAGAACGUCGGAGAGGUAAGUGGAAUUCCGAGUGUAGAGGUGAAAUUCGUAGAUAUUCGGAAGAACACCAGUGGCGAAGGCGACUUACUGGACGACUGUUGACGCUGAGGUGCGAAAGCGUGGGGAGCAAACAGG
rnacentral:rRNA from 1 species